UACGAGGGGGGCGAGCGUUGUUCGGAAUUAUUGGGCGUAAAGGGUGCGUAGGCGGUUUGGUAAGUCUGAUGUGAAAUCUAUGGGCUCAACUCAUAGUCUGCAUCGGAAACUGCCGGGCUUUGAGUGUGGGAGAGGUGAGUGGAAUUCCUGGUGUAGCGGUGAAAUGCGUAGAUAUCAGGAGGAACACCUGUGGCGAAAGCGGCUCACUGGACCAUAACUGACGCUGAUGCACGAAAGCUAGGGGAGCAAACAGG
rnacentral:rRNA from 1 species